rnacentral:ncRNA from 18 species
CGCUGGUACGCUCGGCUCGUUUGGCCAGAUUGACAACUGGAUAGUCGCUGCCCGUGAUGGGGAAGCCGGUCGAAGUCCGGCACUGUCGCGCAACCGUGGGUCACCGUCGUGGUGGCAAGUCGGGUUACCGGACCGGGCAGGUCAUUCCAUA